rnacentral:rRNA from 1 species
UACGGAGGGUGCAAGCGUUAUCCGGAUUCACUGGGUUUAAAGGGUGCGUAGGAGGGCAGGUAAGUCAGUGGUGAAAUCUCCGGGCUUAACUCGGAAACUGCCAUUGAUACUAUCUGUCUUGAAUACCGUGGAGGUUAGCGGAAUAUGUCAUGUAGCGGUGAAAUGCUUAGAUAUGACAUAGAACACCAAUUGCGAAGGCAGCUGGCUACACGAAUAUUGACACUGAUGCACGAAAGCGUGGGGAUCAAACAGG